GGUUCAGUAGCGUAGUGGUAAUCGCACUUGUCGCACUUUACGCGCGCUUAAGGGGACUCUGGUUCGAAUCCAGGCUGAACUA
rfam:Postia placenta Mad-698-R POSPLscaffold_11_Cont942, whole genome shotgun sequence.